rnacentral:rRNA from 1 species
AACGAACGCUGGCGGCAGGCCUAACACAUGCAAGUCGAACGCUCCGCAAGGGGAGUGGCGCACGGGUGAGUAACACGUGGGAACCUACCUUCUGGUACGGAACAACCAAGGGAAACUUUGGCUAAGACCGUACACGACCUCCGGGUGAAAGAUUGAUCGCCGGAAGAGGGGCCCGCGUCCGAUUAGGUAGUUGGUGAGGUAACGGCUCACCAAGCCUUCGAUCGGUAGCUGGUCUGAGAGGAUGACCAGCCACACUGGGACUGAGACACGGCCCAGACUCCUACGGGAGGCAGCAGUGGGGAAUAUUGGACAAUGGGCGCAAGCCUGAUCCAGCCAU